rnacentral:rRNA from 1 species
AACGAACGCUGGCGGCAUGCCUAACACAUGCAAGUCGAACGAAGCCUUCGGGCUUAGUGGCGCACGGGUGCGUAACACGUGGGAAUCUGCCCUUCGGUUCGGAAUAACAGUUAGAAAUGACUGCUAAUACCGGAUGAUGACGUAAGUCCAAAGAUUUAUCGCCGAAGGAUGAGUCCGCGUAGGAUUAGGUAGUUGGUAGGGUAAUGGCCUACCAAGCCGACGAUCCUUAGCUGGUCUGAGAGGAUGAUCAGCCACACUGGGACUGAGACACGGCCCAGACUCCUACGGGAGGCAGCAGUGGGGAAUAUUGGACAAUGGGCGAAAGCCUGAUCCAGCAAUGCCGCGUGAGUGAUGAAGGCCUUAGGGUGUAAAGCUCUUUACCAGGGAUGAUAAUGACAGUACCUGGAGAAUAAGCUCCGGCUAAACUCCGUGCCAGC